CACCACUCCCAGGAUCAUUUCUAUAGCUCAUUACUAGAGAAGUUUCUCUGACUACCUAGACUAUGGGAAACCAUGAAGAGGAGACAUUCGCAUUCUCUCCUGAGCUUGACGCUGGUUCUUACUGUUGCUUUGCUGCAAUUGACACUUGCCAUUGAUUGUUCUCUUUGUGGGAGCUGGUGGGAGAGGACACAGUCUGAGUGGC
rnacentral:snoRNA from 1 species